AAGGUGUGCGAGAGAACUCGGGUUAAGGAACUCGGCAAAAUGACCCCGUAACUUCGGGAGAAGGGGUGCUUUCUUAACCGGAAAGCCGCAGUGAAUAGGCCCAAGCGACUGUUUAGCAAAAACCACAGCUCUCUGCGAAGCCGUAAGGCGAAGUAUAGGGGGUGACACCUGCCCGGUGCUGGAAGGUUAAGGAGAGGGGUUAGCGUAAGCGAAGCUCUGAACUGAAGGCCCAAGUAAACGGCGGCCGUAACUAUAACGGUCCUAAGGUAGCGAAAUUCCUUGUCGGGUAAGUUCCGACCCGCACGAAAGGUGUAACGAUUUGGGCACUGUCUCAACCAGAGACUCGGUGAAAUUAUAGUACCUGUGAAGAUGCAGGUUACCCGCGACAGGACGGAAAGACCCCGUGGAGCUUUACUGUAGACUGAUAUUGAAUUUUGGUUCAGUUUGUACAGGAUAGGCGGGAGCCUUUGAAACCGGAGCGCUAGCUUCCGGUGGAGGCGCUGGUGGGAUACCGCCCUGACUGUAUUGGAAUUCUAACCUACGGGUCUUAUCGACCCGGGAGACAGUGUCAGGUGGGCAGUUUGACUGGGGUGGUCGCCUCCUAAAGUGUAACGGAGGCGCCCAAAGGGUCCCCCAGACAGGGUGGAAAUCAUUCGUAGAGUGCAAAGGCAUAAGGGAGCUUGACUGCGAGACCUACAAGUCGAGCAGGGACGAAAGUCGGGCUUAGUGAUCCGGUGGUUCCGCAUGGAAGGGCCAUCGCUCAACGGAUAAAAGCUACCCCGGGGAUAACAGGCUUAUCUCCCCCAAGAGUCCACAUCGACGGGGAGGUUUGGCACCUCGAUGUCGGCUCAUCGCAUCCUGGGGCUGUAGUCGGUCCCAAGGGUUGGGCUGUUCGCCCAUUAAAGCGGUACGCGAGCUGGGUUCAGAACGUCGUGAGACAGUUCGGUCCCUUAUCCGUCGUGGGCGUAGGAAAUUUGAGAGGAGCUGUCCUUAGUACGAGAGGACCGGGAUGGACGCACCGCUGGUGUACCAGUUGUUCUGCCAAGGGCAUAGCUGGGUAGCUAUGUGCGGAAGGGAUAAGUGCUGAAAGCAUCUAAGCAUGAAGCCCCCCUCAAGAUGAGAUUUCCCAUAGCGUAAGCUAGUAAGAUCCCUGAAAGAUGAUCAGGUUGAUAGGUUCGAGGUGGAAGCAUGGUGACAUGUGGAGCUGACGAAUACUAAUAGAUCGAGGACUUAACCAUAUAA
rnacentral:rRNA from 1 species